rnacentral:rRNA from 1 species
AACGAACGCUGGCGGCAGGCUUAACACAUGCAAGUCGAACGCCCCGCAAGGGGAGCGGCAGACGGGUGAGUAACGCGUGGGAAUCUACCGAGCCCUACGGAAUAACGCAGGGAAACGUUAGCUAAUACCGUAUACGCCCUACGGGGGAAAGAUUUAUCGGGGUUGGAUGAGCCCGCGUUGGAUUAGCUAGUUGGUGGGGUAAAGGCCUACCAAGGCGACGAUCCAUAGCUGGUCUGAGAGGAUGAUCAGCCACAUUGGGACUGAGACACGGCCCAAACUCCUACGGGAGGCAGCAGUGGGGAAUAUUGGACAAUGGGCGCAAGCCUGAUCCAGCCAUGCCGCGUGAGUGAUGAAGGUCUUAGGAUUGUAAAGCUCUUUCACCGACGAAGAUAAUGACGGUAGUCGGAGAAGAAGCCCCGGCUAACUUCGUGCCAGCCGCCGCGGUAAAAC